rnacentral:rRNA from 1 species
UACGUAGGUGGCGAGCGUUGUCCGGAAUUACUGGGCGUAAAGGGCGCGUAGGCGGCUCUUUAAGUUAGAUGUGAAAACCCAGGGCUUAACUUUGGGAGUGCAUUUAAAACUGAAGGGCUUGAGUGCAGGAGAGGUAAGUGGAAUUCCUAGUGUAGCGGUGAAAUGCGUAGAUAUUAGGAGGAACACCAGUGGCGAAGGCGACUUACUGGACUGUAACUGACGCUGAGGCGCGAAAGCGUGGGGAGCAAACAGG